rnacentral:rRNA from 1 species
UAGGGAAUAUUGGGCAAUGGGCGCAAGCCUGACCCAGCCAUCCCGCGUGCAGGAAGAAGGUCCUACGGAUUGUAAACUGCUUUUGUCUGGGAAGAAAAUUCAGUAUUUAUACUGAGCUGACGGUACCAGACGAAUAAGCACCGGCUAACUCCGUGCCAGCAGCCGCGGUAAUACGGAGGGUGCAAGCGUUAUCCGGAUUCACUGGGUUUAAAGGGUGCGUAGGCGGUUUAUUAAGUCAGUGGUGAAAGCCCGUGGCUCAACCAUGGAAUAGCCAUUGAAACUGAUGAACUUGAGUAUAGUUGAAGUGGGCGGAAUACAUCAUGUAGCGGUGAAAUGCUUAGAUAUGAUGUAGAACACCAAUUGCGAAGGCAGCUCGCUAAACUAUCACUGACGCUGAGGCACGAAAGCGUGGGUAGCGAACAGG